GUUUAAAGCAGUAUAAUACCUUAAAGGUACCAGAUCAAGUCUAAUCUUGGAAGGUAAUCAUGGUCAGAUCUGUUUAGUACUUGGUUGGGAAACCAGUGAUGAAUACCAGGAUGCUGUAGGCU
rnacentral:rRNA from 11 species